rnacentral:rRNA from 1 species
AUUGACCACGGAUCCGGGUGAGGAUA